UAUAUAGCCUACACUUUCUCGUUCUGAACUUCCAAAGCGAAUGGGGGCGGGUAUGGCUUCAUGAAGAUGCAAGAGCAGCUGCUCACUGAUUUGAUGGCUCCAACACAGUUCCACCACCAAGUCAUCCGCUAUGCGGGUGUCUGCUAUCGCUGGUUAAGGCUUGAUUGAACCUAGGCCUUAGUAGUAGUAAGUUAGCAGUAGUAGUUAUUAGUAAUAGUAGGACUCCAUAUGUUUGUGUUUGUUGUUUUUAUGUCCUAUGAAUUUGUAUGACAAUUAUUUCACACAUUUCUGUGAAAAUAGACAAAAUCCUUUUUGAUCUUCGGCAAAUAGAGAGCAGAGUACAGUAUAUUGACAGUCUGUUGGUCAAAUAGCAGAAGGAUUUUUUUAACCACUUCCUGUCUAGGCUAGAUAAACCAGUCUACUUGUUACCUGGAAAGGCGUGGUUAGAUGGGGGCCAGUGACUCUGCAGUUUACUCAGCUUAUCUGUAACAGUGCUCACCUGCUUUCACUUCUGUCUCUUUCGCAUUGCUCACACACACUGGUUCUAGAGAGGAGAAACUACCAAGAGAUAAGAAUCAUGUCUGUGGAAAUCCACAUAGAAUAUUGUAGUGGAUGAGGGUACGAGUCUCGCUAUCAGGACCUGGCAUCCGCCAUCAAGCGGAAUGUUCCUGAUGCGACGGUGACGGGAACCACAGGGCGGCGUUCCAGUUUCGAGGUAACAGUGAAUGGUAAACUGGCUUACUCUAAACUGGAGGCAGGAGGAUUCCCAGACACCAAGGAGCUGGUGGCGAUGGUGAGGGAGGUGAGCCACGGAGGAAAGGUGGAGAAAGUGAAGAAGAAGGAUAAGUGCGUUCUCCAAUAGAUGAGUGGAGAGAGAUGAGGAGGAAAGGAGAGAGCCGGACAGGAGGAGGAAGAGUGUUUUCUAAGAUCCUGGUUCCUGAUCUGAUUCUAUUAAUGAUUGUUCACAAUUAAACUAGGGAUGUGCAACAUGAUGAAGACUAGUCAUUUCAACUGUCUGGGAUCUGAGGGAAAUACUCAUCCUGUGACUGUUUUAUACAAUCAUGUCAUUUUAUGUUAUUCCUUGUCUGUUUUUCUUUCGUUACACAGACAAAAAUAUUAUAUUCAACUGACCAACAUUUAGAUUUACAUUCUAUAAAUUAUAUUGUACUCAAUGUAGAUCUCUGCAGUUGUAUAGGCUUUACGUGUAUUUUUAAAUGAUCAAAUAAAUUCAAUUUAUCAAUUGG